CUAUAGCUGUGGGUAGAGCGCCGUUUGAUGGUACAACAUGGGCCAUUAAACGUCGAAUUGCAGAAGCAUAUGGCAAUCCGUUUUACCUCAAAAAAAAAAAAAAAAAAAAUAUCGGCCUUUUCUUCUAUUUCACUGCCAGCUACAUUUUCUGUGUUCUUUUCCGUUGGUUUAUGGUUCUGAAUUGAGGCAGGUAUAUCUAUUAUGCUAUGUCAGUUGUUAUUUGCUUUUCAACAUCCAUUUCAUAGUGGUACAUGUGGCUUUGAUUAAUAUUACCAUAAAGACUGCCGAAAAUGGGUGUGGUACAGAAACCCAGAAAUGGCGUGGGUUCAACAUCAAACAUGGAUUAGAAUUUUAGUGAAGUGAAGGAGGUUUUUCCAAACUCAUCCGUAACUGAACAUGAGGAUGAAUUGGCAUUAGGCGAACACAGUCAGUUAUUCAGUCUACCAC